GGUUAGGACUGAUUAGGUGAAGUUAGGACUGGUUAGGUCAGGUUAGGACUGAUUAGGUCAAGUUAGGACUGGUUAGGUCAGGUUAGGACUGGUUAGGUUAGGUCAGGUUAGAACUAAUUAGGUUAGGUUAGGACUGAUUAGGUUAGGACUGAUUAGGUCAGGUUAGGACUGGUUGGGUUAGGUUAAUACUGAUUAGGUCAGGUUAAGACUAAUUAGGUCAGGUUAGGACUGAUUAGGUCAGGUUAAGACUGAUUAGGUCAGGUUAAGACUAAUUAGGUUAGGUUAGGACUGAUUA